rnacentral:lncRNA from 1 species
AUGCGGCCCAUGUCACCCACUGCCGCCGCCGCGGUGAACAGGAAGAGCUGCCGGGGGUACCCAUGGUGCAGGGGCUGUGCCAGCGCCCAACUCAGCGCUGCCAGGAGGUCAGGGCUGCCCGCGGCCACCGCAGCUCACCCAGGUGGCAGCAGGCCCGCUGCAGCGUCUCCUGCCCGUCAGGACAGCCGGCUCGUGGGGACGGCACCAGGUGGCCAUCCGCAGCAGGGUCGGGCGGGGAGGAUGGAGGGGGACAGAGGGUCCCCCACAGCACUCACAUUGCUGCAGAGGCGGCUUGAGGGGAAGAGCGGCUGCAGGUCGGUACCGAAGGUUGCCACGUUGAGCAGAGUUCUUGGGGGGAGGCUCUUCAGGGCCACCACCAGCGCUUCCUGGGGAUGGGGACAGCCAUCAGGACUCACAGCUCGGUGCGGGGCCCCUGUGCUCACCGCCCUGCCUCACCUUGAGCCUGUCGACAUCAGGGUCGCUCACGGCUCCACUGCGAUCUAUGAGGAAGAGGACCUCACGGGUGACACUAUGCAGGGCCCCUGGGGUGGCCUCCACCUCCGGGCAGAAGUUGAGCAUCAGCACGGGGUUGUGGAAGAUGUCCUUGUGGAAACGCUUCUGCACAAAAGCCACCUGCAAGGGGUGGGAGGCUUCCUCGCAUCCCUUGGCCUCACAAUCAACCCACGCCAGGGCCUUCCUCACCACCUCCACCAUCACCACCCUCUUCUUCCUCCCAGCCACAGCCAUGCCUGCUCACCUGUCUCUCCCCACUGCCAUCCCUCCUGGCUAUCCGCACGUAGUCCCGGCGGCUCCGGAUGUGUGCCUCAUACUCGGGGUACGUCAUGGUGCCUUCCUCCAUCACCAGGUGGGGCUGGUGGGGCUCUGCAAAAGUGUUCACAUUUGCCCCUUGCUUUGGGGGCAAGCCCACCCACCCCUGGACCCGCUGCACCUGCAGCCCUUACCACAGGGGUAGAGGAUGAUCUCCACAUUCCUGUCAUAGUGGUGACGUUCGGCCAGGGUGACACAGGUGGUGGUGGCAGAGCUGGCCCACGGGUCGGCAUCGGCACGCAGCUCAUGGGUUGGGCUCUCCAGGCCUGGAGGGGGCACAGACCCACUUGGAUCUGGUCUCGAGGAAGCCACCAGCCAGCGCUGAUGGGAUUCGUGCUGAUGGCAGCCAGCAGCACCCUGGCUGCCCGAUGUGCCCCUGCAGCCUCCAUCCAUCACACCCCCUCUGAGGAUGCAGGCUGCUGA